rnacentral:rRNA from 1 species
UGGGGGAUAUUGCGCAAUGGGGGAAACCCUGACGCAGCAACGCCGCGUGAAGGAUGAAGGUCUUCGGAUUGUAAACUUCUUUUAUUAAGGACGAAGAAAGUGACGGUACUUAAUGAAUAAGCUCCGGCUAACUACGUGCCAGCAGCCGCGGUAAUACGUAGGGAGCAAGCGUUGUCCGGAUUUACUGGGUGUAAAGGGUGCGUAGGCGGCUUUGCAAGUCAGAUGUGAAAUCUAUGGGCUCAACCCAUAGCCUGCAUUUGAAACUGCAGAGCUUGAGUGAAGUAGAGGUUGGCGGAAUUCCGAGUGUAGCGGUGAAAUGCGUAGAUAUUCGGAGGAACACCGGUGGCGAAGGCGGCCAACUGGGCUUUAACUGACGCUGAGGCUCGAAAGUGUGGGGAGCAAACAGGAUUAGAUACCCUGGUAGUCCACACUGUAAACGAUGAUAACUAGGUGUGGGGGGUCUGACCCCUUCCGUGCCGCAGCUAACGCAAUAAGUUAUCCACCUGGGGAGUACGACCGCAAGGUUGAAACUCAAAGGAAUUGACGGGGACCCGCACAAGCAGUGGAUUAUGUGGUUUAAUUCGAAGCAACGCGAAGAACCUUACCAGCACUUGACAUCCGACUAACGAAGUAGAGAUACAUUAGGUGCCCUUCGGGGAAAGUCGAGACAGGCGGUGCAUGGUUGUCGUCAGCUCGUGUCGUGAGAUGUUGGGUUAAGUCCCGCAACGAGCGCAACCCCUGCCAUUAGUUGCUACGCAAGAGCACUCUAAUGGGACCGCUACCGACAAGGUGGAGGAAGGUGGGGACGACGUCAAAUCAUCAUGCCCCUUAUGUGCUGGGCUACACACGUAAUACAAUGGCCAUCAACAAAGAGAAGCAAUACCGCGAGGUGGAGCAAAACUUCAAAAAUGGUCUCAGUUCGGACUGCAGGCUGCAACCCGCCUGCACGAAGUUGGAAUUGCUAGUAAUCGUGGAUCAGCAUGCCACGGUGAAUACGUUCCC